AUUGAACGCUGGCGGCAUGCCUUACACAUGCAAGUCGAACGGCAGCACGGGAGCAAUCCUGGUGGCGAGUGGCGAACGGGUGAGUAAAGUAUCGGAACGUGCCCAGUCGUGGGGGAUAACGUAGCGAAAGUUACGCUAAUACCGCAUACGAUCUAUGGAUGAAAGCGGGGGAUCGCAAGACCUCGCGCGAUUGGAGCGGCCGAUAUCAGAUUAGGUAGUUGGUGGGGUAAAGGCUCACCAAGCCGACGAUCUGUGGCUGGUCUGAGAGGACGACCAGCCACACUGGGACUGGGACACGGCCCAGACUCCUACGGGAGGCAGCAGUGGGGAAUUUUGGACAAUGGGCGAAAGCCUGAUCCAGCCAUGCCGCGUGCAGGAUGAAGGCCUUCGGGUUGUAAACUGCUUUUGUACGGAACGAAAAGGUUUGGCCUAAUAAGCUGAGCUCAUGACGGUACCGUAAGAAUAAGCACCGGCUAACUACGUGCCAGCCGCCGCGGUAAG
rnacentral:rRNA from 1 species